UACAGAGGGUGCAAGCGUUGUUCGGAAUUACUGGGCGUAAAGCGCGUGUAGGCGGCGGCGUAAGUCGGGUGUGAAAGCCCUUGGCUCAACCAAGGAAGUGCACUCGAUACUGUGUCGCUUGAGUACCGGAGGGGAUGGCGGAAUUCCCGGUGUAGAGGUGAAAUUCGUAGAUAUCGGGAGGAACACCUGUGGCGAAGGCGGCCAUCUGGACGGUAACUGACGCUGAGACGCGAAAGCGUGGGUAGCAAACAGG
rnacentral:rRNA from 1 species